UUGAAUGCAAAAGCAACACCAUCUCUCUCUCUCUCUCUCUCUCUAUAUCUCUCUCGUGCUUGGCUAUUUCGGAGAGAGGUACAGAAAGGGGAGGAGCAAAAUAUUUUCAAAAUUCCAGUCGAAAGUCAGAACCGGAAGGUGGCAGCUCGAGUUCAACAAAUGUGCUUUGUUGAAACUGUAGUAUUCGGUGCAUGUUCUUCUGAUUCUUCGCUGAUUGCUGAUUGUUGUGAUGAAAUUUGAGCUCAAAAUGUGAAGUGAUUUGGUUAGCAACAAUGCUAGGUGAAGCAGUCUCAUUUCAAGAAGAUGACAAGUAGAUUUGAGCCACCGGUGAGAAAUUAUGUUUCAACUCUGGAAAAGGGGACUAGGUGUCUUGGCUUUGCUCGAGCUAAUGACGAAUUUAUUAUCGGCAAACAAAUAAUGCAAAAUCAUCUUUGGGAAUUUGAUAUUUCACAUGGUAUUGUGGGUUUCACUAUUUCCAACUGCACCUCUACCUAGUGCUAUAUUGAAUUGAUUGAUUUGUGUAAGAUCAAAUAUGGACAUAACACAUAUCAUCAUAAAGUAAUUGAUGAUUAGCUUAA